rnacentral:rRNA from 1 species
AGCGAACGCUGGCGGCAGGCUUAAUACAUGCAAGUCGAGCGCCUGUAGCAAUACAGGAGCGGCAGACGGGAGAGUAACACGUGGGAACGUGCCCUUUGGUUCGGAACAACACAGGGAAACUUGUGCUAAUACCGGAUAAGCCCUUACGGGGAAAGAUUUAUCGCCAAAGGAUCGGCCCGCGUCUGAUUAGCUAGUUGGUGGGGUAAUGGCCCACCAAGGCGACGAUCAGUAGCUGGUCUGAGAGGAUGAUCAGCCUCAUUGGGACUGAGACACGGCCCAAACUCCUACGGGAGGCAGCAGUAGGGAAUAUUGGACAAUGGGCGCAAGCCUGAUCCAGCCAUGCCGCGUGAGUGAUGAAGGCCUUAGGGUUGUAAAGCUCUUUCGGCGGGGAAGAUAAUGACGGUACCCGCAUAAGAAGCCCCGGCUAACUUCGUGCCAGCAGCCGCGGUAAU